rnacentral:rRNA from 1 species
AUUGAACGCUGGCGGUAUGCUUAACACAUGCAAGUCGAACGGAAACGAAACUAGCUUGCUAGUAGGCGUCGAGUGGCGGACGGGUGAGUAACGCGUAGGAAUCUGCCUGAUAGUGGGGGAUAGCCCGAAGAAAUUCGGAUUAAUACCGCAUAAUCUAUUCGUAGUAAAGUGGGGGACUUUCGAGCCUCACGCUAUCAGAUGAGCCUGCGUAAGAUUAGCUUGUUGGUAGGGUAAAAGCCUACCAAGGCAACGAUCUUUAGCUGGUCUGAGAGGAUGAUCAGCCACAUCGGGACUGAGACACGGCCCGAACUCCUACGGGAGGCAGCAGUGGGGAAUAUUGGACAAUGGGGGCAACCCUGAUCCAGCAAUACCGCGUGUGUGAAGAAGGCCCGAGGGUUGUAAAGCACUUUCAAUUGUGAAGAAAAGUUAGCGGUUAAUAACCGUUGACCUUGACGUUAACUAUAGAAGAAGCACCGGCUAACUCCGUGCCAGCAGCCGCGGUAAUACGGAGGGUGCAAGCGUUAAUCGGAAUUACUGGGCGUAAAGCGUGCGUAGGCGGUUUAUUAAGUCAGAUGUGAAAGCCCCGGGCUUAACCUGGGAACUGCAUUUGAAACUGGUCAACUAGAGUAUGGUAGAGGAAAGUGGAAUUUCUGGUGUAGCGGUGAAAUGCGUAGAUAUCAGAAGGAACAUCAAUGGCGAAGGCAGCUUUCUGGACCAAUACUGACGCUGAGGUACGAAAGCGUGGGUAGCAAACAGGAUUAGAUACCCUGGUAGUCCACGCCGUAAACGAUGAUAACUAGCCGUUGGGGGGAUUUACCCCUUAGUGGCGAAGCUAACGCGUUAAGUUAUCCGCCUGGGGAGUACGGCCGCAAGGCUAAAACUCAAAGGAAUUGACGGGGACCUGCACAAGCGGUGGAGCAUGUGGUUUAAUUCGAUGCAACGCGAAGAACCUUACCUGGUCUUGACAUCCUGCGAACUUUCUAGAAAUAGAUUGGUGCCUUCGGGAACGCAGUGACAGGUGCUGCAUGGCUGUCGUCAGCUCGUGUCGUGAGAUGUUGGGUUAAGUCCCGUAACGAGCGCAACCCCUAUCCUUAUUUGCCAGCACAUUAUGGUGGGAACUAUAAGGAGACUGCCGGUGAUAAACCGGAGGAAGGCGGGGACGACGUCAAGUCAUCAUGGCCCUUACGAGCAGGGCUACACACGUGCUACAAUGGGAAGGACAAAGAGCCGCGAAGCCGCGAGGUGUAGCUAAUCUCAUAAAUCUUUUCGUAGUCCGGAUUGGAGUCUGCAACUCGACUCCAUGAAGUCGGAAUCGCUAGUAAUCGUAGAUCAGAAUGCUACGGUGAAUACGUUCCCGGGUCUUGUACACACCGCCCGUCAUACCAUGGGAGUGGGUUGCACCAGAAGUGGCUAGUCUAACUUAGUGAGGACGGUCACCACGGUGUGAUUCAUGACUGGGGUAAAGUCGUAACAAGGUAGCCCUACCGGAAGGUGGGGCUGGAUCACCUCCUUA